GCACUGUAAUCUUAUUCUGUCCCUGCUGUGUUGUGCAUGGAGAGGCAAUGCAGUGCUAGAUAAAUGCAGAGGAAAUCCAGACGGAGCAUAGUAUGCAUUGCGCUCUGUCUCUACACCUCUUUAACAUGC